UACGUAGGGUGCAAGCGUUAAUCGGAAUUACUGGGCGUAAAGCGUGCGCAGGCGGCUUUGCAAGACAGAUGUGAAAUCCCCGGGCUCAACCUGGGAAUUGCAUCUGUGACUGCAUAGCUAGAGUACGGUAGAGGGGGAUGGAAUUCCGCGUGUAGCAGUGAAAUGCGCAGAUAUCAGGAAGAACACCCGUGGCGAAAGCGGCUCUCUGGAACGGUACUGACGCUGAGACGCGAAAGCGUGGGAAGCGAACAGG
rnacentral:rRNA from 1 species